AUCUACCUUGCAUAGGAUCCUAACAUAUGCAAUCGGUCCACAUCAUCCUUGGCAAGCAAAUGGAAGCUAGUCCAAGGCCAGACGUUCUGGGAAGGCAUGCUUGGGAAUCCCAUGGACGAAGCUCUCUGCCAAGAGCUGAUCCGCUACGGCCAGCUCGUCUAAUCCGUGGUGGAUGGAUUCAACGAAGUCAAGGCAUCUCGCUGGUAUGGCCUGUGCGUUCACGGUAAGUCACAGCUAUUCCCCAACCUCCAGAUGGACAAAACCGGCUACACUAUCCACAAGUACAUCUAUGGCACCACCAGAGAUAACGAUCGCUCUCGUCUUACCACAGGUACCACCAAGGAGCCCCACACUGCCUGGUCUGGCUACCUUGCCAUGUCCAAUGACAAAUAAAGCUUGAGAUUGGGACGAAGAGACAUCCUCCUUGCGUUUCGGGGCAUGAAGCUCACUCGGGAGUGGUCGACGCGCUCUUGCCUCUUGCUCGGCUGAAUCCAGCCAAACCGUCAGUGGCGGCCGGAAGCCCCUCGCCCGUGUUGGUGUCCGACCAUGUAUCCACACUCUACACCCAUUCCUAUCCAGGAGCCUCAUCGAUGCAGACAGGGACGAAGAGCUGAGCAUCACGGUGGCCGGGCAUAGCUUUGGAGCUUCGCUCGCGAUCCUGUGUGCCUACGACAUUGUCAACGAGAGCGUCAAUGCAGCUCACAAUGGUAAGGUGAUCCCGGUGACCGCAUUUGCCAUUGGUGGUCCUCAAGUUGGCAACCAUGCGUUCAAGGUGGCGGUGGAAGGGUUGCAAAGCCUGCGAGUCCUCACCAUGGUAUGGAUAUGGUUACCAAGCUGCCGGGAAACGCUCUGGGUUUCGUAUCUCACAUUGGGGUGCUGCUGGAAGUUGUCCACACCAGGUUGGCUUAUCCCAAGCACGAGGGUGUUCUAGUGCAUGACUUGCAGCUCUAUUUGCAUUUAAUAGGCAACAAAGUGGAGCCUUUUAAGUAUCACUUCUGAACAGGACGACAGAUCUGCUCGCAAACCCAAUCGUUCCGCCCAAGUGGUGGUAUGUCCAAGGUGUGGAUGUGAAUGUCACUGUGGACGAGGAAACAGGGAGGCUACGUUUCAAGCUGACUAAUGUCUCUGCAUGAUACAGAGUUUAGCUAAGGAACUUUCAUGAUCAAGCCAGUUUGUAUUCUCAUUACAGUCUCUCGAAUCCGAGUUUGCAGAUUCUAUCA